GUGACAAAUAGAUUUUAAUGAUUCGCCUAAGAUAAAAAUUAUAAGCGAAUCAAUGAUUUCCCUGGUGUUGGCGCAGUAUUCGCGCACCCCAACUUAGGU
rnacentral:sRNA from 6 species